GGUCCCAUGGCUUAAAUGGCAAAGCACCUGCCUAGUAAACAGGAGAUCAUGAAUUCGAGUCUCAUUGGGACCU
rnacentral:tRNA from 1 species